rnacentral:rRNA from 1 species
AUUGAACGCUGGCGGCAUGCUUUACACAUGCAAGUCGAACGGUAACAGGCCGCAAGGUGCUGACGAGUGGCGAACGGGUGAGUAAUGCAUCGGAACGUGCCCAGUCGUGGGGGAUAACGCAGCGAAAGCUGCGCUAAUACCGCAUACGAUCUGUGGAUGAAAGCGGGGGACCGAAAGGCCUCGCGCGAUUGGAGCGGCCGAUGUCAGAUUAGGUAGUUGGUGGGGUAAAGGCCCACCAAGCCAACGAUCUGUAGCUGGUCUGGGAGGACGACCAGCCACACUGGGACUGAGACACGGCCCAGACUCCUACGGGAUGCAGCAGUGGGGAAUUUUGGACAAUGGGCGCAAGCCUGAUCCAGCAAUGCCGCGUGCAGGAAGAAGGCCUUCGGGUUGUAAACUGCUUUUGUACGGAACGAAACGGCUCUGGUUAAUACCUGGGGCUAAUGACGGUACCGUAAGAAUAAGCACCGGCUAACUCCGUGCCAGCCGCCGCCGUAAGAC